ensembl:snoRNA
AGGAACAAUCACACUCAAAGUUCCCAUUCAUGGUGUGAAACUUAAGACCAAAGACUGAAGUUCUACAUAGGAUGUCCUAAUCUACUCAAUAGUGCUGUUUUCCUGAGGAGAUACAAAA